rnacentral:rRNA from 1 species
UACGGAGGGUGCGAGCGUUGUCCGGAAUCACUGGGCGUAAAGGGCGCGUAGGUGGCCUGUGGAAGUCUGCGGUGAAAGCCCGGCGCUCAACGCCGGGUCGGCCGUGGAUACUCUCGGGCUUGAGCUUACUAGAGGCAGAUGGAAUUCCGGGUGUAGCGGUGGAAUGCGUAGAGAUCCGGAAGAACCCCGGUGGCCAAGGCGGUCUGCCGGGGUAAUGCUGACACUGAUGCGCGAAAGCCAGGGGAGCGAACGGG